rnacentral:rRNA from 1 species
UACGUAGGUGGCAAGCGUUGUCCGGAUUUACUGGGUGUAAAGGGCGAGUAGGCGGGAUUGCAAGUCAGAUGUGAAAACUAUGGGCUCAACCCAUAAACUGCAUUUGAAACUGUAGUUCUUGAGUGGUGGAGAGGCAGGCGGAAUUCCCGGUGUAGCGGUGGAAUGCGUAGAGAUCGGGAGGAACACCAGUGGCGAAGGCGGCCUGCUGGACACUAACUGACGCUGAGGAGCGAGAGCGUGGGGAGCAAAC